rnacentral:rRNA from 1 species
GGGUUGUGAGGUUAAGCGACUAAGCGUACACGGUGGAUGCCCUGGCAGUCAGAGGCGAUGAAGGGCGUGCUAAUCUGCGAUAAGCGCCGGUAAGGUGAUAUGAACCGUUAUAACCGGCGAUACCCGAAUGGGGAAACCCAGUGUGACUCGUCACACUAUCAUUAACUGAAUCCAUAGGUUAAUGAGGCGAACCGGGGGAACUGAAACAUCUAAGUACCCCGAGGAAAAGAAAUCAACCGAGAUUCCCCCAGUAGCGGCGAGCGAACGGGGAGGAGCCCAGAGCCUGAAUCAGCAUGUGUGUUAGUGGAAGCGUCUGGAAAGGCGCGCGAUACAGGGUGACAGCCCCGUACACAAAAGCGCAUGUGCUGUGAGCUCGAUGAGUAGGGCGGGACACGUGGUAUCCUGUCUGAAUAUGGGGGGACCAUCCUCCAAGGCUAAAUACUCCUGACUGACCGAUAGUGAACCAGUACCGUGAGGGAAAGGCGAAAAGAACCCCGGCGAGGGGAGUGAAAAAGAACCUGAAACCGUGUACGUACAAGCAGUGGGAGCACCCUUUGGGUGUGACUGCGUACCUUUUGUAUAAUGGGUCAGCGACUUAUAUUCUGUAGCAAGGUUAACCGAAUAGGGGAGCCGGAGGGAAACCGAGUCUUAAUUGGGCGUUAAGUUGCAGGGUAUAGACCCGAAACCCGGUGAUCUAGCCAUGGGCAGGUUGAAGGUUGGGUAACACUAACUGGAGGACCGAACCGACUAAUGUUGAAAAAUUAGCGGAUGACCUGUGGCUGGGGGUGAAAGGCCAAUCAAACCGGGAGAUAGCUGGUUCUCCCCGAAAGCUAUUUAGGUAGCGCCUCGUGAAUUCAUCUCCGGGGGUAGAGCACUGUUUCGGCUAGGGGGCCAUCCCGGCUUACCAACCCGAUGCAAACUGCGAAUACCGGAGAAUGUUAUCACGGGAGACACACGGCGGGUGCUAACGUCCGUCGUGAAGAGGGAAACAACCCAGACCGCCAGCUAAGGUCCCAAAGUCAUGGUUAAGUGGGAAACGAUGUGGGAAGGCCCAGACAGCCAGGAUGUUGGCUUAGAAGCAGCCAUCAUUUAAAGAAAGCGUAAUAGCUCACUGGUCGAGUCGGCCUGCGCGGAAGAUGUAACGGGGCUAAACCAUGCACCGAAGCUGCGGCAGCGACGCUUAUGCGUUGUUGGGUAGGGGAGCGUUCUGUAAGCCUGCGAAGGUGGCCUGUGAGGGUUGCUGGAGGUAUCAGAAGUGCGAAUGCUGACAUAAGUAACGAUAAAGCGGGUGAAAAGCCCGCUCGCCGGAAGACCAAGGGUUCCUGUCCAACGUUAAUCGGGGCAGGGUGAGUCGACCCCUAAGGCGAGGCCGAAAGGCGUAGUCGAUGGGAAACGGGUUAAUAUUCCCGUACUUGGUGUUACUGCGAAGGGGGGACGGAGAAGGCUAUGUUGGCCGGGCGACGGUUGUCCCGGUUUAAGCGUGUAGGCUGGUUUUCCAGGCAAAUCCGGAAAAUCAAGGCUGAGGCGUGAUGACGAGGCACUACGGUGCUGAAGCAACAAAUGCCCUGCUUCCAGGAAAAGCCUCUAAGCAUCAGGUAACAUCAAAUCGUACCCCAAACCGACACAGGUGGUCAGGUAGAGAAUACCAAGGCGCUUGAGAGAACUCGGGUGAAGGAACUAGGCAAAAUGGUGCCGUAACUUCGGGAGAAGGCACGCUGACACGUAGGUGAAGUGAUUUACUCACGGAGCUGAAGUCAGUCGAAGAUACCAGCUGGCUGCAACUGUUUAUUAAAAACACAGCACUGUGCAAACACGAAAGUGGACGUAUACGGUGUGACGCCUGCCCGGUGCCGGAAGGUUAAUUGAUGGGGUCAGCGCAAGCGAAGCUCCUGAUCGAAGCCCCGGUAAACGGCGGCCGUAACUAUAACGGUCCUAAGGUAGCGAAAUUCCUUGUCGGGUAAGUUCCGACCUGCACGAAUGGCGUAAUGAUGGCCAGGCUGUCUCCACCCGAGACUCAGUGAAAUUGAACUCGCUGUGAAGAUGCAGUGUACCCGCGGCAAGACGGAAAGACCCCGUGAACCUUUACUAUAGCUUGACACUGAACAUUGAGCCUUGAUGUGUAGGAUAGGUGGGAGGCUUUGAAGUGUGGACGCCAGUCUGC